AAAAAUAUAAGCUCUCCGUCUCAACCACCCGCCCUCCGUCUCAACCACCGGCCCUCCGUAUUGGUUCGAAAAUUUCUCACUCUCCCUUCCCCUUAAAUUGUUUCUUGUCUUAAUCUACUAAUAAAAUAAAAAUGGAUUCAAUGAAUGAUAUUAACAUGAUUAUGUUAUAUUCAGAUUUGUCAAAUUAGUUGGAAUGGUGGGCGGAGGUAUAAUCAAGCUGAAGACAUGGCAGCAGGCGGCGGUGGCAUUGGGUUCGGCAG
rnacentral:lncRNA from 1 species